rnacentral:misc_RNA from 1 species
AUUCGCCGGCCUGUCGUUAUUCGUUUCUUCCUUUGUGUGCGUGGGCCCGUUACGACUUCUCCGCCGUACGUAGCAGGAGUACCUUCUCUUACACGCACACACACACACCUUCACCGCCACCACCACCACACUCGCUCGAGUCAUCGCCAUGGCCGAGGAGGAUAUUGCGGACUUCACCCUCGAUGACGAGAAGGUCAUCGACACAGACCAGGGGCUCGCCAAGCAGGACUUCAGCAAGAUCGACCUCGAUGAGCUCGACGUCGACACCUUCGAGGUCAUGUCGCGCCAGGCCACCAUCAACGUCGGCACCAUCGGCCACGUCGCACACGGUAAGUCCACCGUGGUCAAAGCGCUCAGCGGUGUCAAGACGCAGAAGUUCCACCGCGAGGCUGUCAUGAACAUCACCAUCCACCUCGGCUACGCCAACGCCAAGGUGUACCAGUGCGAGACCUGCCCACGCCCCACCUGCUACCAGACCUACCCGUCCUCGCAGCCGGACAGCACGCCGUGCCCCAACUGCGGAGAGACCAUGACGCUGAAGCGCCACUUCUCCUUUGUCGACUGCCCCGGCCACGACGUGCUGAUGGCAACCAUGCUGAACGGCGCCGCCAUCAUGGACGCCGCGCUGCUGCUCAUCGCCGCCAACGAGUCGUUCCCGCAGCCGCAGACGCUGGAGCACCUCGCCGCGGCGGAAAUGAUCGGCGUCUCGUCGCUCAUCGUGCUACAGAACAAGGUGGACCUUGUUAGCAAGGAGCGCGCGGCGGCGCAGCACAGCAUUAUUCACCACUACCUCGCCACCAAGACAGCCUACGCCAAGGCGCCGGUGAUUCCGAUUUGCGCACAGCAGCACGUGAACAUCAGCUUCUUGCUGGACUACCUCGUGCACAUCCCUCUGCCACGGCGGCAGCUGCACCACGCGCAGUACAUGAACGUGCUACGUUCCUUCGAUGUGUCGCUGCCUGGCCCGGCUGGCGACGGUGCGAAGGCGCUCAAGGGCGGUGUCGUCGGUGGCACUGUCGCGGCCGGUGUCUUGUGCGUCGGAGACGAAAUCGAAAUCAUCCCUGGGCUGCUGGUGCUCCGGCGGCGCGACGGUGUGCUGCCGCGACGGGCGGAUGUCUUGUCGGGCCGAGAGUUGGCCUACGUCGCCUCCCCGCCGCCUGGCGAGCUGUACGCCGUCCCACUGCGCACCACCGUUGUGCGACUCCAGGCGGAGAAGAACGAGCUGCAGUUCGCCGUGCCAGGCGGCCUCAUUGCGAUUGGCACGACGCUCGACCCAUCCCUGACACGUCAAAACAAGUUACGAGGGCAGGUGGUGCGGGUGGUGAGUCGCGGUCCCGUCUGGCGGUCGCGUGGAACGAGGUGCAGUCCACGGAGGUGCGACAGUCCGCCAGCGGUGGCAGAAGCUGCCUCCGCAUCAACGACGCCGGUGACCACCACCACAGGCGACGCAAUACCGACGCCAUCCGGCGCCGUCCUCCCCUGCCAAUCUCCUGCUCCGGCUCCAGUCGCAGUGGAGUGUCACACAGGCAUGCAGGUGUACCAAGAAGUCGUCAUUCAGUUCUUCCUCCUGCGCGAAAUUCUCGGCCUCGCAGCACCGCGUCCUGGACGCGCCAAGCCACACCGCGACAGGGAUCGCGGCUUCAACGGUGGUGCCGACUCAUAUCGGGUCCACCCAGACCGCGUGGUCUCCUCUCUGCACCGCCGCGUCGUGCCGCUGCGAGAGGACGAGAGCAUCAUCCUGAGCGUUGGGACGCUGACGACGGCAGCGACGGUGCUGCGGACGUCGCGGCAUGCUGGGCGGGCCAUCUGCCGGCUGGAGAGCCCCCUCUCCGCCGAUCCUCCACACCAGCGCAUUGUGCUAGCCCGGUACGUAGAUCGCAAGGUUCGCGUGAUUGGGUGGGGCACGAUACUCAAAGGCGUGCCCGUGAAGCUCCUGCCGGAGGACUCGCAGUGACGGUGUCAUUGAAGGAGGACAUAUGCGGAGAGACGUCGUGUGGGAUGCUGACGGCAAGCUCUGCGUUCGGGCCGCCGCCGCCGUGGCAGGAAGAAGAGGAAUGGAGGGAGGUCGACGCUGCAGCGGCAACGUGGCAAACCGCGCGUGCAGAGUAGCUGAAGGGGUAGCAUUCGUUGCAUGUCUCUGUGUCGUUGCCCUGCUGCACGAGGUUCCUCUGGCUGCUCCACGGUGCUCGCUCUCUCCCGUCUUAUACUUCCGCACCUCUCUUGUUCGAGCGCUUUUCUCACCAUUACGACGACGACGCGCGAUGGGCAAGAGAAAAACUCUCGAAGACACUCGCGUUCUCCGCGCACCUCUCUCCUGCGCAGUCGCACGCACAUAUGCGAUCUGACUGCGCGGGCUUGCGUCUGUUUCCAUCUCAUCUGUUUCUCUGUGUCGUGGCCCCGCUUCCUCCCCGCCCUCCCCUCCCCCUUUUGCCUCUCCCCGUUGCGCUGCGCGGACGAGAUCACGCGCUGGUUUUG